rnacentral:rRNA from 1 species
AGCGAACGCUGGCGGCAGGCUUAACACAUGCAAGUCGAGCGGGCACCUUUCGGGGUGUCAGCGGCGGACGGGUGAGUAACGCGUGGGAACGUGCCCUCUGGUUCGGAAUAACUCAGGGAAACUUGAGCUAAUACCGGAUACGCCCUUUUGGGGAAAGGCUUGCUGCCGGAGGAUCGGCCCGCGUCUGAUUAGCUAGUUGGUGAGGUAACGGCUCACCAAGGCGACGAUCAGUAGCUGGUCUGAGAGGAUGAUCAGCCACACUGGGACUGAGACACGGCCCAGACUCCUACGGGAGGCAGCAGUGGGGAAUAUUGGACAAUGGGCGCAAGCCUGAUCCAGCCAUGCCGCGUGAGUGAUGAAGGCCUUAGGGUUGUAAAGCUCUUUUAUCCAGGACGAUAAUGACGGUACCGGAGGAAUAAGCCCCGGCUAACUUCGUG